rnacentral:ribozyme from 14 species
UGUCUAAUACUAUAUCAUCUGUUGUUAUUUUUUUUGGUUCCAUUGUCAUCUUCUCCCAUUCUGACCUUUUUUCAGAAAAAGAAGAAGAAAAUAUAGGACUGCUGCA